GAUGAACGCUGGCGGCGUGCCUAAUACAUGCAAGUCGAGCGAACGGACGAGAAGUUUGCUUCUCUGAUGUUAGCGGCGGACGGGUGAGUAACACGUGGAUAACCUACCUAUAAGACUGGGAUAACUUCGGGAAACCGGAGCUAAUACCGGAUAAUAUUUUGAACCGCAUGGUUCAAAAGUGAAUGACGGUCUUGCUGUCACUUAUAGAUGGAUCCGCGCUGCAUUAGCUAGUUGGUAAGGUAACGGCUUACCAAGGCAACGAUGCAUAGCCGACCGGAGAGGGUGGUCGGCCACACUGGAACUGGGACGCGGACCAGGCGCCUACGGGAGGCAGCAGUAGGGAAUCUUCCGCAAUGGGCGAAAGCCUGACGGAGCAACGCCGCGUGAGUGAUGAAGGUCUUCGGAUCGUAAAACUCUGUUAUUAGGGAAGAACAGAUGUGUAAGUAACUGUGCACAUCGUGACGGUACCUAAUCAGAAAGCCACGGCUAACUACGUG
rnacentral:rRNA from 1 species